UUAGGGGGUACAAGACACUCAAUGGGUGCGAGACACUCAGGGGGCACCUGGCACUUAGGGGGCACCUGGCACUUAGGGGCGCCUGGCACUCAGGGGGCACCAAGCACUCAGGGGGUGCCGGACACUUAGAUGGCGCCGGGCACUCAGGGGGUGCUCACCUUUCAGGCUAAAUCUCUGAGCUGAUCAGGAAGAUCUAAAGAAAAACGAUGACUCGGUUUGAAGAAGGACUUUAUUUGAAAUGAAGAUCAACAUUUUUCAUAUAAACCUGAACAAUCUUGAAGCCAAUUAUCUCGAUGCAUAGUUUUGUUUUUGUGUCUUUGUGCAGAAAUUUUAAGCUUCAGGAGGGGGGAGGGGGUAAUAAACACUAAAGCACUGAA